rnacentral:rRNA from 1 species
AGCGAACGCUGGCGGCAGGCCUAACACAUGCAAGUCGAACGGACUCUUCGGAGUUAGUGGCGGACGGGUGAGUAACACGUGGGAACGUGCCUUUUGGUUCGGAAUAGCUCCUGGAAACGGGUGGUAAUGCCGAAUGUGCCCUUCGGGGAAAGAUUUAUCGCCAUUAGAGCGGCCCGCGUCUGAUUAGCUAGUUGGUGAGG